ACGCACGUGUGAAACUUGAAGGAAUUGACGGAAGGGCACCACAAGAACGCGUGGAGCAUGUGGCUUAAUUUGACCCAACGCGGGAAAUCUUACCGGGUCCGGACACACUGAGGAUUGACAGGCACUAUUAAAAAUAGAGUCACGCAUUUAUUUGUGUGUUCUCUUUUUUAUGUCAAAUAUGCUAGUCCUUUCAUGAUUAUGUGAUAGGUGGUGCAUGGCCGUUCUUAGUUCGUGGAGUGAUCUGUCUGCUUAAUUGCGUUUCACUAAGAGUUCUAAACUUAAUGUGUAUUGCGGCGGUUUCAUUGACCCCUGUCUUUAUUGGCGGUGUUGUUGUCUUUGUUACUUGUUCGCUUACACUUCUGAGCUCUGAAAGCAACGAACGUGACCG
rnacentral:rRNA from 1 species